rnacentral:misc_RNA from 1 species
GUGAGUCAUCGAAUCUUUGAACGCACAUUGCGCCCGCCAGUAUUCUGGCGGGCAUGCCUGUUCGAGCGUCAUUUCAACCAUCAAGCCCCCGGGCUUGUGUUGGGGACCUGCGGCUGCCGCAGGCCCUGAAAACCAGUGGCGGGCUCGCUAGUCACUCCGAGCGUAGUAGUUUACACCUCGCUCAGGGCGUGCUGCGGGUUCCGGCCGUUAAAAGCCUUAUUUUACCCAAGGUUGACCUCGGAUCAGGUAGGAAGACCCGCUGAACUUAAGCAUAUCAAUAAGCGGAGGA